rnacentral:rRNA from 1 species
UACGUAGGGUGCAAGCGUUGUCCGGAAUUAUUGGGCGUAAAGAGCUCGUAGGCGGUUUGUCGCGUCGACUGUGAAAACCCGAGGCUUAACCUCGGGCCUGCAGUCGAUACGGGCAGACUAGAGUUCGGUAGGGGAGACUGGAAUUCCUGGUGUAGCGGUGAAAUGCGCAGAUAUCAGGAGGAACACCGGUGGCGAAGGCGGGUCUCUGGGCCGAUACUGACGCUAAGGCGCGAAAGCGUGGGGAGCGAACAGG